CACGUAGGUGGUUUUGUAAGUCGGAUGUGAAAGCCCUGGGCUCAACCUGGGAAUUGCAUUCGAUACUGCUUAACUAGAGUAUGGUAGAGGGAAGUGGAAUUUCCGGUGUAGCGGUGAAAUGCGUAGAUAUCGGAAGGAACACCAGUGGCGAAGGCGACUUCCUGGGCCAAUACUGACACUGAGGUGCGAAAGCGUGGGUAGCAAACAGGAUUAGAUACCCUGGUAGUCCACGCCGUAAACGAUGAGAACUAGAUGUUGGGGGGGUUGCCUCCCGGUGUCGCAGCUAACGCGUUAAGUUCUCCGCCUGGGGAGUACGCCGGCAACGGUAAA
rnacentral:rRNA from 1 species